rnacentral:lncRNA from 1 species
GCAACUCUGAGCCUCCUAUUGAGCAAAGAUAAGCUCAUAGGCAACAAAGAGCACUUUGACAUGGAAGAGGUUCUGGGCCACUGGGCUCGGAGGCAGCGGGGCCUGACCAGCGCCCCAGGCCCCAGAGCUGCUGACGUGGGUCCCCAAGGAGGUUGUUGGCUGUUCUCUUGCCACCACUCUAUUAACUCAUAACUGCUGUUCUCACGAGAGGCUACUGGCAGAGACCAGGCAGGAGCUCCUGGAGCCAAGGUCAUUGCUUUUAUUUUUAUUUAUUUAUUUAUUGAGAUGGAAUGUUCCUUUCUCGCCCAGGCUGGAGUGCAGUGGCAUGACCUCACUGCAUCCUCUGCCUCACGGGUUCAAGCAAUUCUCCCACCUCAGCCUCCUGAGUAGCAGGGAUUACAGGCGUGAGCCACUGCACCUGGCCAGGCUCAUCACUUUUUGCGCCUAUUGCCUCGAAGCCAGUCUCUGAUGGGACAUUAGGGCAGGGGCCCUUCAGCCUAGUCUGGGACAUGGGCCGCUCACUCAGCAGUAUGACAAGCAUCACCUGGAGAACGGGCCAGUCUCAGGAGGUCGUUCAUGCCCCACUGGCAGUGCACUGUGCAGCCAUAGUGUAAACAAGAGGCUUAACCUGAAUUGGUCUGAGAUCUUGGGGACCCCCUACCCUGUCUCCAGCAG